GACGAACGCUAGCGGCGUGCCUAAGGUAUGCAAGUCGAGCGGACAGGAGCAAUCCUGUUAGCGGCAAACGGUUGAGUAACACGUAGACAACCUGCCCGAAAGACGGGGAUAACUGCUCGAAAGGGCAGCUAAUACCGGAUGUGGCAAGAAGAGGCAUCUCUUCUCUGCUAAACGAGCAAUCGGCUUUCGGAUGGGUCUGCGGCCUAUCAGCUAGCUGGUGGGGAACGGCCUACCAGGGCGACGACGGGUAGCUGGUCUGAGAGGAUGACCAGCCAGACGGGGACUGAGACACGGCCCCGACUCCUUCGGGAGGCAGCAAUGAGGAAUAUUGCGCAAUGGGGGAAACCCGUCGACGCAGCGACGCCGCGUGGGUGAGGAA
rnacentral:rRNA from 1 species